AUUGGUUUACUAAAUAAAAGGGCCCGUAAAACGGCCCCAAUUAAAUAGUAUCUGUUCUUAUCAGCUUAAUAUCUGAUACGGUCCUCAUUGAGGACCCAGAAUAUUAAACUGAUUUUUGGAACCAGAUGGGGUGCUCGGAGCUUGCUCCACCCGUCACGGGUUGGCUUGGUAGUGCAGUACCUCCAGGAUCGGCCCUCUCCUU
rnacentral:snRNA from 1 species